rnacentral:tRNA from 1 species
GGGAAGUUGGCUCAGUGGUAGAGCACUUGCCUUGUAUGCAUGAGGCCCUGGGUUUGAUUCCUCAGUACCA